rnacentral:lncRNA from 1 species
UCCAAUGAGAUAUAAAAUAUCUGCCUUCAGUUUUUAUUUUAGAAGAGCUAGUAUGUACGUCAGUAACCAACAAGAAAUGGAGAAAGAGUUUAAAUUUAUCUAUCAAAUAGGGCACCAGUACGGGUACGGUACACGCUUUUUGCAAAACAUGUAUUGUAGAACACAAUGGCCCCACCCACCUCAAUCAGAAGACAGGGAAACCAAACUAAUCAAGGUUAUGUGCAGGUACCUUAUGUAAUGAAGAAAUAUAACCUUGCUAAGAAAUUGGAGGAAAGAAUGCAUAAAAGAUUAACAUAUAAAAGGCAACCAACAGUCUUUGGUCAGUUUAGGAAUGAGAAAGAACCUAAGGACAACAUGCAAAAAUCAGA